UGAUUUUUGUGACAUUAUUUACUUUGAUCAAUCUCUUUCUUAGUCAAAACUCUUCCUUAUGUGAGAGUCCAUUCAAAUGCAGUGAUGCAGAGGCCAGUACUGUAGUUGAAGCUGCUGCAGAAUAUGGGGAACCCCUCCCAGUACCAUCUGAAGGUAAAAUUGUAUUUAAUGUUUUUCAAUACUUUUACAAGUUACAUGACUUUGUUAACUUCGUUUCUAUUUUGCAGUGGACAAAUGGGUCUUCUUCACAAAGUAAAAGAUCAUUAACUCUUUGCAGUGUGAUCUCAGAAGAAGGUAGAAAAGGCCAGAAGAAUGCCAGAAGAACCAAUAUACAUUGGGUAUUAGGACAAGAAGAGUUCGUCUUCGCAAGAUGACCAAGAAAUCAAACUCUGUAGCAAGAAUGUGAAGUUCCAUGCCUGAUGUAAAAAAGAAAUAAUACUCUACUUUUUUCCCUGGAAUGUGUACCAUCUGAAUCAAGUACUAGUAUACAGGAAAUAAACUCGGAUCAAUCUUUUUUGUUUUCCAUGAUAAUAUAUUUACACAAUUAAAAGUGUUU
rnacentral:lncRNA from 1 species